rnacentral:rRNA from 1 species
GACGAACGCUGGCGGCGUGCUUAACACAUGCAAGUCGAACGCUGAAGACCUGGCUUUUGUUGGGUUGGAUGAGUGGCGAACGGGUGAGUAACACGUGAGUAACCUGCCCCCUUCUUUGGGAUAACGCCCGGAAACGGGUGCUAAUACUGGAUAUUCACUGGCCUUCGCAUGGGGGUUGGUGGAAAGGUUUGUUCUGGUGGGGGAUGGGCUCGCGGCCUAUCAGCUUGUUGGUGGGGUGAUGGCCUACCAAGGCUUUGACGGGUAGCCGGCCUGAGAGGGUGACCGGUCACAUUGGGACUGAGAUACGGCCCAGACUCCUACGGGAGGCAGCAGUGGGGAAUAUUGCACAAUGGGCGAAAGCCUGAUGCAGCGACGCCGCGUGAGGGAUGGAGGCCUUCGGGUUGUAAACCUCUUUCGCUCAUGGUCAAGCCGCAACUGUGGGUUGUGGUGAGGGUAGUGGGUAAAGAAGCGCCGGCUAACUACGUGCCAGCAGCCGCGGUAAUACGUAGGGCGCGAGCGUUGUCCGGAAUUAUUGGGCGUAAAGGGCUUGUAGGCGGUUGGUCGCGUCUGCCGUGAAAUCCUCUGGCUUAACUGGGGGGCGUGCGGUGGGUACGGGCUGACUUGAGUGCGGUAGGGGAGACUGGAACUCCUGGUGUAGCGGUGGAAUGCGCAGAUAUCAUGAAGAACACCGGUGGGCGAAGGCGGGUCUCUGGGCCGUUACUGACGCUGAGGAGCGAAAGCGUGGGGAGCGAACAGG